rnacentral:rRNA from 1 species
UACAGAGGUCUCAAGCGUUGUUCGGGUUCAUUGGGCGUAAAGGGCGCGUAGGCGGCGGGGUAAGUCGGGUGUGAAAUCUCAGAGCUCAACUCUGAAACUGCACUCGAUACUGCUCUGCUUGAGGACUGGAGAGGAGACUGGAAUUCACGGUGUAGCAGUGAAAUGCGUAGAGAUCAUGAGGAAGACCAGUGGCGAAGGCGGGUCUCUGGACAGUUCCUGACACUGAGGCACGAAGGCCAGGGGAGCAAACGGG